UCCAUCUGAUACAGAACGACGAGCAUGGCCAUUCGCCAAACGCCAAUGUAUUAACUAUUUUAAGUAUUUUCCUCAAACUAUGAUUCGAGACAGCCGACAGACUCAAUGCCUCACACGUACUCAUAGGUACCUACAGAGCUAAGAGCAACUGAAGACGUAAUAGCACUUUUGUUGCAGCAUCGUUUUUUUAUUGUUUCUGUCUACAGACGAUGGAACACUCUCACAUGUAAGAAGUCAUCUGCCUUUAAUCCACGUCCAGUGAAAUUUUAUGUUGUCCGGUAACUAUUGUUCGAGCAACAGCCAAUAUUAUGUAUUAAUGUUUUUUUUCUCUAAUUCAGGGUGAUCCUUGCGUUUACCGGAUACUGUUGUGAUUUUGUGUUGUUCUUGUUCAACGUCGUAGUAUACUUCAUGUUGAAUAAUUUAACCGGCAGCAGCUCUGGCUGGUUAGUCAAAUGCACGUGGGACCUGUACUUUUUAUUGUGUUAAUUAAGUUUUAAUACCCAAGUUUUUAGGUAUAUUUUGAGUGAGAUUAAAUCCGCCAUUAAACACAGUCAUAUUGACAUCAUUUUUCAAUAUUGAAAACACUUUACCACCCUUACAACACAAUUUGCAGUAUACCAUACAAGGUCCAACCGUUAAGUUUCUUAAAUAUAUCACUACAAGUAUGUAUGCAUAGUGGGUACCUGCAUAAUAUAAUAUUUAUAUCAGUUAUAAUAAUGAUUCAGAAAAUAACUACAUUUCCUAGGGAAUGUUUAAAAUGCAUUGCCAAUGAUUGUCAUGCACCAUUCAUUAGUACAACAUUUUCAUGGUUUAUUAGGAACUAUUAUAAUUAUAAACAUUGUUUAUGAAUUAUGUAGGUAGUAGGUAUAUUAUCUAAACUGUGAUACACAGUCAUAAACUCGUUAUAAAAAACAUUUAAUUUUAAAGAUUAACAUUGCCUAUUCCCUUAAUACCAUCAUAAUAAAAAACCUACAGAAUUUGAAUUGUUCAAUACUUAAAAAACUACUUAAAGUUCAUUACUUAACCCCUGUGAUAUAUAACAGGGAUUAUCUAUAUUUAAAAAAAAUGUAUGCAGUAGGUAUCUAUAACUAUAAAUCAUACAUUAUAUGGUUCAUACAAUUAUGCCUUUAACACCUUUAAAUACCUAGUAAAGAUUUUAAUAGUUAUCAGUUAUUGUGUAAAAAACUAAAUUAAAUUAAUUAUAUCUGGCUUGAAAUAAGAAAAUAUAUAGCUCUGCUUUACAACAAUUACACACAAUUUUUAGUGUAUAUUAUAAAAAAUAAUUAAAAAAUGUAUAUUGUUUGUAAACUACCUAAUUAAACAUUCCACAUUACCAUAUUCAGAUCAGAAUCUGCCUUAAAAUAUUGUAUCUGAAUUGUUGAUUUAUUUUAUUUUUAGUUGAUGUUGAUAUUACUAAUUGGAAUCGUUAAUCAUCUCAAAUGAUUGCUAUUCACUGUAGGUUAUUGCUAAUAUAAUAUAUUGAAUCAUAAUAUAAAUUCUUGUAAACUUCAAGCAUUCAAUUUUACUUUAUAUACUUACAUAGUAGUCUUACUUGUCUUUUGACUGAACCAGUAUAAAUAAUAUUAUUUGAAACUUUCUGUUAUUAAGUAUAUUGUUAUAAUUACAAUAUACAAUUACAUUGUCAAAAUAUCUAUUUUUAUUUCAGUAACGUAUACAGGAUAUAUAUAUUCCAAAAAACUAGCUAAUUUUCAUAAAAAAAUAAUUGACAACAUAAGAUAAUCAUAUUUUUUAUUAUCGGUAUAAAUAAUGUGUAAAGUGUAUAUAUAUAAUAAAAAAAGGUCUUGAGGGGGGAGGGGUCCAUAUCCUGCCCUGUGUCUAUGUCCAUGUUAUAAUUCAAAAAUAAUAAUAAUUAUAAUAUUAACUAACACUUCAUUUGAUAAUACAUUGAUAUUGAUUUAUAAUAAAUAAAUUACAGUAAUAUAUUAUAAUAUGAUGCUUUAAUUAUUAUUAUUAUUAUGUAAUAUAAUAACAUUUUAGUCGAUAAUUAGUUCAAGUUACUGUGUAUUACUUGCAUAUAAAAAAAUAAAUAACUUACUGUAAUAAACUUAAUUGUUUUA